GAUGAACGCUGGCGGCGUGCCUAAUACAUGCAAGUAGAACGCUGAAGGAGGAGCUUGCUCUUCUGGAUGAGUUGCGAACGGGUGAGUAACGCGUAGGUAACCUGCCUGGUAGCGGGGGAUAACUAUUGGAAACGAUAGCUAAUACCGCAUGACAACAGUUAUUGCAUGAUAACUGUUUAAAAGGGGCAACUGCUCCACUACCAGAUGGACCUGCGUUGUAUUAGCUAGUUGGUGAGGUAGCGGCUCACCAAGGCGACGAUACAUAGCCGACCUGAGAGGGUGAUCGGCCACACUGGGACGGAGACACGGCCCAGACUCCUACGGGAGGCAGCAGGAGGGAAUCUUCGGCAAUGGACGGAAGUCUGACCGAGCAACGCCGCGUGAGUGAAGAAGGGUUUCGGAUCGUAAAGCUCUGUUGUAAGAGAAGAACGAGUGUGAGAGUGGAAAGUUCACACUGUGACGGUAUCUUACCAGAAAGGGACGGCUAACUACGUG
rnacentral:rRNA from 1 species